rnacentral:lncRNA from 1 species
AUUGCUCAAAAUUGGCUCCAGAGUCAGAUUGGGAGCCAACCAUAUUCCUUUGUCUCUGUUGCAAAGGCCAGUUGAGCUGUACAGACAGGAUCAAGGUCCACUCUUCUGAGAAUGGGUUUGAAUUCCUCCCUGCGCAUAUUUCUACAGCAGGAAACACCCUUCUUGCAUCUCUUCUCUCAGGGUCAUGGGGCCCUGAGAGGAUCAAUCAAUGGAAAUGUCCAGAUGCAACACUGACCUUCGACCCCCAGGGGGUGGAGUGAGGGGAGUCAGUCAGUGAUCUUCAAAGUCAUCCAGGUUGAAAACAGUUGUUUGGGCAAUGGAUCACAUGAAUUACUCUGAUAUGGUGGACCCAGAACAGAGACUCGUCAAUCAAAGGAGAGGACCAGACGAAUAGAAAUAUCUCCAGGGCAAGAAGAUUACUCAUCUGGAGUAGUGGAGGAGGUGGGAAAGUCUGGAGAGUUAAGAAUGGAGCUGGGAGUGAAGUGAGUGAGGAGAGAGACAGAGACAGAGAGUCAGAGAAAGAGAGACAGAUACAGAGACACACUCACAGAUAGUGGCAGAGACAGAGAGAGAGAGAGAGAGAUACAGAGAUAUAGAGAAAUAGAGAUAGAGAAGGAUAGAUAAAUGAAUACAGACAAAUACAGAGAUAGAUGUAUAGAUAUAGAGAAAUGGAGAGAUGGAUGGAUG